ACUAAACGCUUGGAAAGUGCUUGGCACAUAGUAAGCGCUUAACAAACACCAUCCUUAUAAUUAUUAUGAAAAUUCGCCAAUAGAGACAACCCCUACCCAACGGGCUCACGGUCUAGUUGCUCUGAAGAGGACAGGGAUUCUUUCUUUCCCUUUUCUCCCCCAUCCGGGCGGGAUGAGAGCCCCGUGGCGGCCUGCUGACGUUACCAGUGACAAGGGAAAAAGGCGGCUCUCUUGGGGGAGGCCUAGCUAGGGAAAAUCCCACUUCUGCCACUGUCACCUCGGGUAAGUCACUUCACCUAGGCCUAAAUUUCCGUGCCAAGAGGGCAAGGAACUGGCUCUUUCCGGGCAGUGCGGGCAGGAGGGGCCACGUUUUUCCUCUGGAGAUGGGGAAGGGCGGAGCACGUGCUCAGCCAGCCCAGCUGCUGCAUCCGCAAACCCCGGCCCGCUCGGGCCAUGGCUGCUGGGGGUGGAAGGGACUCGCCUCAGCUGUGUCCCUGGGACCUGGCAGUGACGACGGAGGAGCGGCACCCAGGAAGUCUCUGUUCCACCUGCUGCACUGCUUCCAGCUUGGCUGGCACGGGGAGCCACCCAACACCUGCCCCUCAGUGGGGUUUUAAACAAGGUCACCAGGCUUUUUUUCCAGCAGCGGGACCGGAAGGGUGGAGAAUCCCUGUACACUAAGCACGUGUCCACAGGACCACAGACAAAUGUACAAGAGACGGAUCCGGCUGCUGGCCAAAGUGUCAACCCGAUUCCACUCUUGGUUUCUGCGGGACUGAAGCCAGAUCUCCAGGCAAAUGUCUUCCAGUUGGCUGUGAAAGGUUCUCACGGGACUUCUCUUUGACACAUUUUGGCUAGAUGAAGAUGAGGUCUCAUAGAAGGGAUAAAAUUAUCUUGGAGUCUAAGAACGCAUAUAAUUUGCCUUGUGUUACUCACCUGGCCUAGGUUUUGGAGCCUCUGGAAGCUAAGCACCCACGUGGAGACCUCGGGAAAUGCCAUCUCAUCUUUCAAGUUUUGUAAAGGGAGGCAGUGGGGUUGGUGGAAAGAGCUCGGGAUUGGGAUUUAGAAAAUUUGGGUUCUAAUCUCAGCUUGGCCACUGGUCUGUUGUGUGCCCUUGGGCAUGUUAAUUUAGAAAAUUUUACUUUUCAAUGCCAUUAAGCGCUACGUGUUCUAAGCACUGAGGUAGAUAGAAAUUAACCUUAUUGGAUACACUCCAUCCGUCACAGGGCUCAUACUUUAAGUGGAGGGGGGAGGAUUUUAAUCCUCAUUUUACAGAUGAGCUGUGCCACAGAGAAGUUAAGUGACUUGCCUGUGGUCACAAAGCAGACAAGUGGCAGAGCAGGUAUUAGAACCCGGGUCCUCUCACUUCCAGGCUCGUGCUUUUUCCACUAGGCCACAUUGCUUUUCUACUCAGUCUCGCUGAGUCUCAGUUUCCUCUCUUGAAGCAUGGGGCUAAGAUGUCUCCUUUUGCCCUCCCUCUUAGAUCGUGUCUCAUGUGGGACAGGAACUCAUGUUCAGUCUGAUUGCCUUGUAUCGGCCUCAGUGCUAAGCACAGUGCUCCGGCACCUAGGAAAUGCCGAAUUAAAUGCCCAUUUAAUGCAGCCUGCCUCAGGUCAGUGACAUGGGCACCCCUGGGGAAGACUCUGUCAGCUGCCACCGAGUCCCAAUCAUUAUGGUAUUUAAGCGCUUAGUAUGUGCCAAGCGCUGUUCUACGUGCUGGAGUAGAUACAAGAUAAUCUGGUUAGACAUAGUCCCUGUCCCACAUGGGGCUCACACUCUCAAUCCCCGUUUUACAGAUGAGGUAACUGAAGCUCAGAGAAGUUGAGUGACUUGCCAAAGGUCACACAGCAGGCAGGUGGCAGAGCCGGGAUUAGAACCUAUCCCCUUCUGACUCCCAGGCCAGUGCUUUAUCCACUAGGCCAUGCUGCUCCCCAAGGUGAACGAC
rnacentral:lncRNA from 1 species